rnacentral:rRNA from 1 species
ACUAUCAGAAACCCUACUACAGUACUGCUAGUACUACGCCCACCGAUUCCCCGUGUCCCCCCGCAGGACCGCACCCCGCACGCGCCCUAAAAUAUCCCGAAGCCGAAAUCCCCCAAUUCCCCUCUCUCUCUCCCUCUCCCCAUCGCCCCCCUCCCGCACCCGAGCGCGAGAGAAUCCGAGGAGAGGAGCGGCGCAAGGAGGCGGUGAUGGAGUCGGAUCAGGGCAAGCUCUUCAUCGGCGGCAUCUCCUGGGAGACGACGGAGGAGAAGCUGCAGGAGCACUUCUCCAACUUCGGCGAGGUCUCCCAGGCCGCCGUCAUGCGCGACAAGCUCACUGGCCGCCCGCGGGGCUUCGGCUUCGUAGUCUACGCCGACCCCGCCGCCGUCGACGCCGCCCUCCAGGAGCCCCACACCCUCGACGGCCGCACGGUCGAUGUGAAGCGGGCGCUCUCGCGGGAGGAGCAGCAGGCUACCAAGGCGGUGAACCCUAGCGCAGGAAGGAACGCUGGAGGUGGUGGCGGCGGCGGCGGCGGCGGCGGCGAUGCCGGUGGUGCUAGGACAAAGAAGAUUUUUGUGGGCGGACUGCCCUCCAGUCUGACAGAUGAGGAGUUCCGGCAGUACUUCCAGACCUUCGGGGCUGUCACCGAUGUUGUGGUGAUGUAUGACCAGACAACACAGCGUCCCCGGGGCUUCGGCUUCAUUACCUUUGACUCGGAGGAUGCGGUUGACCGUGUGCUGCACAAAACCUUCCACGAUCUUGGAGGGAAGAUGGUAGAGGUGAAGCGUGCUCUGCCCCGAGAGGCGAAUCCUGGCUCUGGCGGCGGCGGCCGUUCCAUGGGAGGUGGGGGUUUUCAUAGUAACAAUGGACCCAACUCCAAUGCUAGCAGCUAUGAUGGCAGAGGCGAUGCUAGCAGAUAUGGGCAGGCGCAGCAAGGCAGUGGUGGCUACCCAGGUUAUGGUGCUGGAGCUUAUGGCAGUGCUCCAACUGGGUAUGGAUAUGGGCACACCAAUCCUGGAACUACAUAUGGAAAUUAUGGGUCUGCAGGGUAUGGAGCUGUUCCUGCUGCGUAUGCUGGGGCUUAUGGCAAUCCAAGUGCUGCUGCUUCCGGUUACCAGGGUGGCCCUCCAGGCGCUAAUAGAGGACCCUGGGGCAGUCAAGCUCCGUCUGGUUAUGGCACUGGGGGUUAUGCUGGCAAUGCAGGCUAUGGUGCAUGGAAUAGCUCUUCUGCUGGUGGGAAUGCACCCACUAGUCAGGCACCUGGUGCAGCUGCAGGUUAUGGAAACCAGGGCUAUGGUUAUGGUGGAUAUGGAGGAGAUGCAUCAUAUGGUAAUCAUGGAGGGUAUGGUGCUUAUGGUGGCCGGGGAGAUGGUGCUGGAAAUCCUGCUACUGGUGCAGCCUCUGGGUAUGGUGCUGCUGGAUAUGGAAGUGGGAAUGGAAACUCUGGAUAUCCAAAUGCGUGGACUGAUCCUUCACAAGGCGGGGGAUUUGGUGGUGCAGUCAAUGGAGCUUCUGAGGGCCAAUCAAAUUAUGGCAGUGGUUAUGGUGGUAUGCAGCCUAGGGUUGCUCAGUAGAAGAGGCUGUUAUAAUGUUCAUGGUGUGAACCAGUGCAUUUGGGCAGCAUAUGUAUUAUUGCGGUAUUCUGGCUUUGCUCUCGUCUUCCUGAAGGCCAUCCAUUCUGCCGGUUAAAUCAGUAUUUCUCCUGGUUGGAAUGCUUGAUCCUUUCGUGGCUUAACUAGAACUUAAGUCAAUAAGUAGCUAUUAUGUCGAGUAGCUGUAUCUUCAUAAUGCUUUAUUUAUGUUUAGCUUAUCCUUUGGUGUGCUUUGUCAUGAGUGGAGUUUCAGGUUGCUUUAUCUCUAGUUUAAAGCUAGAGUAGCUUCACUGCUUAUGGACCAAAUUAUCUAGUUGUAUCUCUAUUCUACAGAAUCAUAUAUUCGUGUUUGACUGUAGUAUUUAUGCUGGAUACUCUCUCCCUAUUGUGGUUAAGUCUGAAACGUUGAUCGCUGGCGGUUGUGUUCAUCUCUGGUCCCUUGCUUUGCUUUAGCUCACCUUGGAGUUAAGGUGUUACUUUUAUUCUUCAAAUUUGACGGUUUGCAACAGAUGCUAGUCCCGAAACUAUGCACUGAUAGAGGCUUGGUACUGUAGCUGCUUCAAACGGACGGUCAAGUAUAGUCUGCUUCUUUAUGUAACUGGAAUGUGACAUCCUAUUUGUACAUUCUUUUUUGAGAAACAUUGUUCGUAUGCAUGAUGAAGCUGUGAAUAUGUUUCAGGGUUAGCAUCUGAUGUUUGGUAUGUAGAUGGAUUAAACAGGCAUAGUAGAGGGAACUGAUUAGCCCUUCAAGCCUUUUGGUCUUAAAUUUUGAUAGUACAUAUGCAGUGAUAAAGAGCUUACUAGCAGCAAGAUGGUAGCAUCAACUUCUAAGGUAGUGUAGAUCCCAAAAAACAGUGAUGCUACAUGAUGAAUGAUGUACAGGUAGAAACCCUAGAGUACAGUAGCGAGGCAUUUGGCAAGUAAAAUAAUUGUCCUUCCUCCUUCGUUUCGUUUCUGUACAGGUUGCAUGUGACGCCAUUCCGUGUAAAGCAUGUCCAAGUGAGGGUGAAAAUGAUAUUGGAAAUCUGCUGAUUUUGCUUGAUGAGCUGAUGAGAAGUUGCGAUUUGAAGCAUUGGCACAGAAUGCAAGCUACUUGCUUUUUAUGUGCUUCAUGUUCUUGAGGAUCUUGCUGUGCUGCAAGGUGGUGGUGCAUUGACCCAAAAGUACAUUAAGCUGGAGACGUGAAGUUUUCACUUGUCACAUAUAUAAAGUAACACGAGACUUUGGAGAUCGCUGCUUGACCCCAGACGAGCUCUAUCCAGAACAAACAACAAUUCUCUCAUGGAUCGACUGAAAUAUGAGUCUGAUUUACUGUCAAAGAUGGAAGGUUGCGUGACUUGAUGGUAUUAUUAUGCUAGUAUAUCUGUGAUGUCAUUUGGAAAGCUGUGCUGUCAUUUUAUCUCCAAUGUAUUUUGGACACUUCGCAAUAGUCUAAGCCAACUAUUGCAGUGAUUCUUUCCUCAAA